UGGAAAAGGAUCCAAAUGCAACCAACACCCAGACUUAGGGUUUUAUCUGACAGAAUUCCACGAGUUUUGGUGUUUGUCUAUUUCUACAGGGGGUUAUCAGGAAAUACGGAAGAAAGGCCCACACGUCGGGAUUACAUAGAGAUAUUAACGUGCCGCGCAAUUUUCUAUCAUCUAGAAGACUCCAGAAGCCACGGGAACGAACAGGAGGCUGAGCGGGCCCGGAGGCAGGGCGCCCGCCCUACCCCCCUGGGCGCCCGCCCUCCUCUGCUGGCCAAUCAGCCCGAGUCUCGGGUAUUAUGCUCCACCGACUCUAAGGAUCGAGGAAAAUCACACGAUGAAGGUCGGUU
rnacentral:lncRNA from 1 species